UGUUAAAAUCAAGUCAUUAUGAGUAAUAAAUUUAGCCUAAAUAAAUAUUCUUAAGUUAAAUACAAUAAAACAUUCUUAUUAUUCUAGUACAGGAGAUGAAAAAAAUUUUAAGCGCAAUAGAAAUAGUACUGCAAAGGAAAAAUGAAAUAGAAAUUAAAUAAAUCAUUAAAACAAUAAAAAGCAAAGAUUAAACCUUGUACCUUUUGCAUUAUGGUCUAGUAAGUUUAACCUAACAUAUAGAAAUUUAGUCAGAUUCCCCGAAACUAGACGAGCUACUUCGAAGCAGCACAACAAGAGCAAACCCUUCUCUGUGGCAAAAGAGUGGGAUGACUUCCCAGUAGUGGUGAUAAACCUAACGAGCCUAGUAAUAGCUGGUUACUCAGUAAAUGAACUUAAAUUCAGCUUAAAAUAUUUUUUUAACAAUUAAAGUAAAAAAUAAUAUUUUAAAGUUAUUUAAUAGAGGUACAGCUCUAUUAAUAAAGGAUACAACCUAUUACACUGAAUAAGGAUUAUAUAAACUAAAAAAAUUAACUAUGUGGGCUUAAAAGCAGCAAUCAUAUUAAAAGCGUUAAAGCUUGGUUAAAAAAAAAACCUGAUAUAAUAAUAAUAAAUCUAAAUUCACUAAAACUACUGAGUCAAUCUAUUAAUAUAGAUGUGUUUAUACUAGAAUUAGUAACAAGAAGAAAUUCUCUAUAGUGUAAGUGUAAAUCAGAACGAAAUAAUCACUGAUUAUUAACGAACCUAUUGAAGGUAACAUAACACAAAACAAGAAAAAAUUAUAAAACAAACCGUUAACCCAACACAGGAACACUACAAUAAGAUUAAAAAUUUAGGAAGGAACUCGGCAAACAUGAACUUCGCCUGUUUACCAAAAACAUCGCCUCUUGCUAUUAAAGUAUAAGAGGUCCUGCCUGCCCAGUGACAUUAGUUUAACGGCCGCGGUAUUAUGACCGUGCAAAGGUAGCGUAAUCACUUGUCUUUUAAAUAAAGACCUGUAUGAAUGGCAAAACGAAAGUUCAACUGUCUCCCUAAAUUAAUCAGUGAAAUUGAUUUUUCCGUGCAGAAGCGGAAAUAAAAUUAUAAGACGAGAAGACCCUAUGGAGCUUUAAAUAUAAUUCAACUGUUUUAAUUAAAAUUCAAACGGAAAAAAUAUAAUAAAACAUAAUGAUUAAAAUUUUAGGUUGGGGCGACCACGGAAAAAAACAAAACUUCCGAGAUGAAAUAAUCAAUGAACAACAGUUCUAAAAAAUAAAAUAUUUAACAUAAUUGAUCCAAUAUUUGAUCAACGAACCAAGUUACCCUAGGGAUAACAGCGCAAUCCUUUCUAAGAGUCCUUAUCGACGAAUGGGUUUACGACCUCGAUGUUGGAUCAGGACACCCCAAUGGUGUAGCCGCUAUUAAAGGUUCGUUUGUUCAACGAUUAAAGUCCUACGUGAUCUGAGUUCAGACCGGAGAAAUCCAGGUCAGUUUCUAUCUAUAUAUAUUUUUCCUAGUACGAAAGGACCGGAAAAAUAGAGCCUAUGUUCUAAUAAGCUCUCUUCAUUACUACUGAAAACAACUAAAGUAGCCUAGAAGAAACUACAAUCACCUUAUAUAAAGGUUA
rnacentral:rRNA from 1 species